rnacentral:sRNA from 1 species
GUAGGCUUCUGCUAGCUCCAUCAGCUCUCCCCAAACAUCAUCUUGCAUUCAGUUCUUCGAUCGUUUCAUUUUGUAUGCUCCCAUGAUGCGUGCAAGCAUGGCUUAGUUUGUUCACUCCCGGCCGCCCAGUUUUCUCAACAUCGUGAUCAAGAUUUUGUAACGUACGUGCGAUUCAAAGAACAUCGACUGAUCAAGAUAUGAUGGAGCUGCUCGCCUAGACUGUAAUUCAACAAUUGAAGAUCCAGCUAGCUAGCAAGAGAUCCAGGCAACAGAUCGACUCAUCAUGCCAGCGGAUGAGGUGAUCGAUAUAUACGUCCAUACACUACAUAUUUGAUACUGUAAUCAUCUACGUAUCAUUCCCUUUCCCUCAUCCAGUGGCUCAUCAAGUUCUUCAGCUCUAUCUCUAUUAUAUAUGUCCUUAUUUGGGGCUGGUGUUCAAAGUGCUCGCUCAUUUCAUCAUAUCAUUUGCAACGGCAACAAUAUCUAAUGCAUGAUGAGUAAGUACAUCUCCGGCCGGCAUCCAGACGCUCGUCAUCUGCUUGUUACUAGCUUGGAUUCUGUUCAUUUCUGCUUCUUUUGUUCUGUGUGAAAAUUAAUAAAUGGAUGCUCAGCUGGUGUGUGAGCUCUGCAUCUAUCUGCUAAGUUAUUUUCUCCAUACAUGCUUGCUUUCCGUUUGGCCGGUUAGUCGAUCUGCUUGUUCGACCGAUCCAUCCAUCGGAUUACUACGUAUGCUUCAUCUUUCUGGAUAGAUGAUCAUACAUGUAUAUGUGAAAACUUUGAUCUCUAGCACCGUUCUGGUGUGGUGUGCUUCCUAGAGGUCGACGAAUAAAUCAUCAGCUUCAGCGGCAUGAGAAGAUCCAUUGGGUGAUCCUCGUGCAGCCGAGUUGCUGUUGUGCACUUGUUUGUGGGUGUGUGUGUGUUCGUGUGAUUUGUCAGCAUAUGUGGACUGACCGAGUUUGUACUCCUAAUUACUUCACUUGUAUGAACAGAAACAAUGAUGAUGAUUGUGAGUGUGACAUAUAUUUUCUAUGCUGC